CCUACUGUCGGCAGCAGUGAGGAAUAUUGGUCAAUGGACGAGAGUCUGAACCAGCCAAGUAGCGUGAAGGAUGACUGCCCUAUGGGUUGUACACUUCUUUUAUAAAGGGAUAAACCGAGGCACGUGUACCUUUUUGCAUGUACUUUAUGCAUAAGGAUCGGCUAACUCCGUGCCAUCAGCCGCGGUAAUACGGAGGGUCCUAGCGUUAUCCGGCUUUAUUGUGUUUAAAGGGAGCGUAGAUGGGUGGUGAAGUCAGUUGUGAAAGUUUGCGGCUCAACCGUAAAAUUGCAAUUGAUACUGGCAGUCUAGAGAACAGUUGAGGUAGGCGGAAUUCGUGGUGUAGCGGUGAAAUGCUUAGAUAUCACGAAGAACCCCGAUUGCGAAGGCAGCUUACUAAGCUGUGACUGACAUUGAGGCUCGAAAGUGUGGGUAUCAAACAGGAUUAGAUACCCGUGUAGUC
rnacentral:rRNA from 1 species